AUCAACAGCAGUAAAGUCGUAGUGGAAUUGGGGAACUAAGAUAGAGCUUGAUGUCCGACGUCCAAAGAAAUCUCAUCACUCGCAACGUCGAGUUAUCCACAUUUAACGAGUUAUAGCCCAGAAACAUGUUUCUAUUUCGUCACAGCCACAUUCUUCGCGAUUCUAGAACUGCAAAUGGCAAAUGGCUUUGCCAAUUUCACGUAUGCACAAACUCGUCGUGUCCAUGUGUCACGUAAAAUCCCGGAGGCUCAAGUGCACCAAAAUCUGGAAUGGCACAUCGAACAAGAGAUAGCAAAACAGCUAUACGUAAGACAAGCAUAGCAGCGCGGGAAUCUCCGGGGUGGAAAAUUUUAUCGGAAGACGUUAGGCUCGGGUCACUGAUUGUCGGCGUCAACCCGGCUCUCGCUAUCGUCCCGAAGACUAAUGAUUACUCCAUGUACUUUCCGUUCACGUAUAUUGAAGCUGUCCAUCCGACGUUCGAAUGCUCCCGUAUUUCGUAAAUUCAACAGAUUUUUUAAAAUUUAACAAGGUUCUUCGAAAUAUAACGGACAUGAAUUUUUCCC